GGGGGUAUAGCUCAGUGGUAGAGCAUGUGCUUAGCUGUGGGAGGUCCCGGGUUCAAUUCCCAGUACCUCCG
rnacentral:tRNA from 1 species